AAGCCCUAAGCGAAGAUGACGUCAUGAAACCUAAUAUACGAGCGAGCAUGUUCCUAUAAAUUUAUAAACCCUAAUUUCAUUUCAGUCUUUCUCCGUAGAAGAAGACACUCGACAGCUCCUCAAGCCAUGGGUAUCGAUCUUAUCGCUGGAGGUAAGAGCAAGAAGACCAAAAGGACAGCUCCUAAGUCCGAUGAUGUCUACCUCAAGCUUCUCGUCAAGCUAUACCGGUUUUUGGUAAGGAGAACCGGAAGCAAGUUCGAUGCUGUGAUUCUUAAGAGGCUUUUCAUGAGCAAGGUCAACAAAGCUCCUCUUUCGCUCUCUAAGCUCGUGGAGUUUAUGAAGGGCAAGGAUGGUAAGAUUGCUGUGUUGGUUGGGACUAUUACCGAUGAUUUGAGAGUGCACGAGAUCCCUGCCAUGAAGGUUACUGCCUUGAGGUUUACAGAGAGGGCUAGGGCUAGGAUUGAGAAAGCUGGUGGAGAGUGCUUGACCUUUGAUCAGCUUGCUCUCGUUGCUCCUUUGGGACAGAACACGGUUCUUCUUAGGGGACCAAAGAACUCGCGUGAAGCAGUGAAGCACUUUGGUCCAGCUCCUGGUGUGCCGCACAGUCACUCCAAGCCUUAUGUUAGGUCUAAGGGAAGGAAGUUUGAGAAAGCCAGAGGAAAGCGAAAGAGUCGUGGCUUCAAGGUCUAAGAUUGGUUUCGUUAUGGUUGGUUUCGUUAUCGAGAUUUUGUUGCAGAACUCUUGUUCCUCUUCGCCUUUUGCAGACAUUGUUUUGAGCUCUCUAUCUUUCUGUUCUACUCGACAAUUAAAUGUUUUUCCUAA